rnacentral:lncRNA from 1 species
CUGGGAACCGUAAGGACACGGGUGUGGCCUUGGUCCCCUGACUAGUGGUAGUAGAGGUACCCGAAGAGGGGUGACUCCUCCUAUACCAGGCUAGUCACCAUGAGCCGGAAGAUGGGUCCUACCAGGGUUCAACAUCUCCAUAUCUCCAUACCCUGGCUGGAUUACAGGUGCCAGCUAUGUCAAAGCCGUCCACAGACGGGCAUGUGUAGCAUAGAGCUCCAUGCGAAGGGCAUGAGCAUCCCUGUCUCUAUUUUCUAACAUCUCAGCGGUGGACUGCAGAAGCGGAUCCUCCAGAGAGGAAUCAAAGUAGACC